UAAUAGUGUAUAUUAAAGUUGUUGCAGUUAAAAAGCUCGUAGUUGAAUGUUGGUGUCGAACGAGCGGUCAGCUUCGGCUGUACUGCUCUCUCGACUCCUUCCUUCUGUGGACUACGUCGCACUUUACUGUGUGGCGCUAGGACGCAGAUCGUUUACUGUGAAAAAAUUAGAGUGUUCAAAGCAGGCCGUACGCUUGAAUACAUUAGCAUGGAAUAAUGGAAUAGGACGUCGGGCCUAUUUUGUUGGUUCUAGGACCGUCGUAAUGAUUAAUAGGGACAGUUGGGGCCGUUUAUAUUCCGUAGUCAGAGGUGAAAUUCUUGGAUUUACGGAAGAUAAACUACUGCGAGAGCAUUCGGCAAGGAUGUUUUCGUUAA
rnacentral:rRNA from 1 species